GACGAACGCUGGCGGCGUGCCUAAUACAUGCAAGUAGGACGCAGUUGCGAACGGGUGAGUAACGCGUAGGUAACUACCUAUUAGAGGGGGAUAACUAUUGGAAACGAUAGCUAAUACCGCCUACUAGUAGAUGAACCUGCGUUGUAUUAGCUAGUAGGUAGGGUAAUGGCCUACCUAGGCAACGAUACAUAGCCGGCCUUAUAGGGUGGUGCGCCACACGUGGACUGAGACACGGCCCCGACUCCUUAGGGAGGCAGCAGUAGGGAAGCGUCGGCAAUUGGGGGAACCCUGACCGAGCAACGCCGCGUGAGUGAAGAAGGUUUUCGGGUCGUAAAGGUCUGUUGUUAAGGAAGCGGUACUUAACCAGAAAGUGACGGCUAACUACGUGCCAGCAGCCGCGGUAAUUC
rnacentral:rRNA from 1 species